GACCACGUAGCUCAGUUGGAUAGAGCAACAGUUUCCUAAACUGUAGGUCGGAGGUUCAAUCCCCCCCGUGGUCGCCA
rnacentral:tRNA from 1 species